rnacentral:tRNA from 1 species
UGUGUGUUCCGAGUCAGGCCAAAGGAGAGGGGCUCAGAGCCUCUUGCUUAGUGCUUCGUGGGUUCGAAUCCCACCACAUCUA